AUGCUUCAAGGAGGAGGCAACAGAUGCAAGGGAAAGAGUCCUGGGUCAGGAGUCAGAGGCCUUGGGUUUGAAUCUCAGCUUUGCUACUGCUUGUGUGACCUCAGGCAAGCCACCUCUCUGGACCUCCAGGUCCUCCUCAGUCAAAAGCAGGGGGUUGGAUUAGAUGUAAGCACUUCCUUUGUGCUAAACCCUGGGCAAAAGAAAGUCAGGCUCAGCUCUCAAGGAGUUUCUGUUCUAAUGAGGGAAGAUCUCACCCUAAGGGAGAGGGACAGUGUUGGUGCUUGGCUAAGGCCUCUUAUGGAAGUCUGGAAAGUUUGGGGCAGAGAUAGGAGGAGAGGGACGUUUGGAGGCCCUAGGGGAAGGGAGGCAGCACCCAGAGAUGGGUUCCUGAAUGAGGCUGCCAUUGGGGCAUGGGAAAGCAGCAUCUGGAAGGCUAGGAGGAGAACAAAGGACCCCUCACGCUCCAAGGUCCCUUCCGAUUCCCGGCCCUCAUUGGGGGAAGGGAUCAAUUCUUACAGGGAACUCCCUGCUCCUGGACUAGCCUGCUGUCCCUUCCCUCAAUAAUCCCUGGGAACACUGUUGCUGGGGCUGUGACUUAGGGUUGGGGACUUUGAUCCCAAGUGCUCUGUCUGUCACUUUAGCAAACAGUGAGCUCUUUGAGGAAGGUGUAGCCUCAUUUUGAAUGGUUCUGAGGCUUUUCAGCUUGGCAAAAACCAAAGCUCUCUCAUCUGGCCAAGGCUCCAUGUUCCAGGGCCUUCCAGGGAGUCUGGCCCAGAGUGGAGAAAGAGAGGCUCUCGGGAGGACCUUGGCGGCCUUGCUCUGCACCUUGGUUCCUUGUUCACUCCCACAGUUCAAACAAGCUUGUUUUAGGGUCACAAAGGAAGAGCUCCAGACCUUGAAAGGCCUCCAGCCCCACUCCCUUGUUUGAAUGUGGCUUAGCUCCGGCUCAAUUAGAAACUGAGAUGGGCCACUUCAGGCCACCACAUUGUAAAGUUUGCUUGAUUGGAGGCACAGAAAAAGUAGAAUACUGAUGCAGGAGCUCCCAAAGCCCUGACACCUUGGGCACCACUUAGCGUCUGGGUCUGGGGGCCUUAAGGCAGCAGACACUCGUGAAGCCUCUUCCGUGUGCCAGGCGCUGUGGGGAGGGCUCACUUGGUUACUGCCCAGCCCAGUAACUGGUGUCGCUCUGGUCCAUUGAGGCGGCGUCAGUUACCUAGAAGAGGUCGUUGUGGGAACUUGUAAGAAGGGAGAUUUCCAUGUGUCAGUGGAAUGAUCAUAGCCGUGCUCCUUGGUCGAGAUGCAGCGUGCUGAUGGACUGAGAGGGACGGCCUCCGAAUCAGAGAGGCCCGGGGCCAAGUGCCAUCCCUGGCUUUCAUCCGAGACCUAAGCUGAGGGCCAAUCUGCCUUGGAAGUCAGAGUUCACUUUUUGGGAAUGCAGAGGUCUGGGCCAAAUCUCCAACUUCAUAUUUCUAGAAUGGUGGGGAGAGUGUCAUCGACAACAGCUUCGGGAGGUCUGUUGGGCAAGUCCUUAUUAUCCCCAUUGGAUAGAUGAGAGAGUUGAGAC
rnacentral:lncRNA from 1 species